UUUCUCUCAAAUUUUCUGCACUUCCUCCUCUUUUCUUCCUCUCCAUUUUGGCUCAAAUAAUCAACAAAAAGACAAGGAAAAAUCAUAUUAAACUUUAAUAAUAAAAAGGGUUUUUGAAAGGCUUAAACAAGGGUUGAUUCAAGUAAGAUUUAAGGGUUAUUUUAAGCUUGAAAUAAGGGUUAUUUGGAGCAUCAAAGCCACGAAAUUUCUGCCAUAUUUUCUUCAUCAAAACCGUGCUCUUCAAGGGGAUAGUCUUGGCUUUCAAAUGUGAUUGAGAAACGUGAUGGAUGUAUGAUGGAGUGAUUGAUGGGAAAUACCCAUUUUGGAUAAGUGAAUAUAAUAUGCGGCAUAUCAAGGAAAUAAGUUUAAGCAUUGAGGAUUUAUAUGCUUCAUGAU